rfam:Gossypium arboreum cultivar AKA8401 contig_25977_5, whole genome shotgun sequence.
CUCAUAGCGAGUUCGAUCUUGGCUCAGGAUAAACGCUGGUGAAAUGCUUAACACAUGCAAGUUGGACGGAAAAUGGUGUUUCCAGUGGCAGACAGGUGAGUAACGUGUAAGAACUUGCCUUUGGGAGGGGAACAAUAGUUGCAAACGAUUGGUAAUACCCCGUAAGCUGAGGAGCAAAAGGAGGGAUCCGUUUGAGGAAGGGCUCGCAUUUGAUAGCUAGUUGGUAAGGCAAUAGCUUACCAAGGCGAUAUCAGUAGCUGGUCCGAGAGGAUGAUUAGCCACACUGGGACUGAGACACGACCUAGACUCUUACGAGAGGCAGUAGUAGGGAAUUUUUCGCAAUGGGCAAAAACUUGACGGAGCAAUGUGUGGAGGUAGAAGGCUCAAAGGUCGUGAACUUCUUUUCUCGGAAAAGAAGCAACAAUAGUAUCUGAGGAAUAAACAAUAGCAAACUUUGUGCCAACAGCCACGGUAAUAUAGAAGAUGCAAGCGUUACUCGAAAUAAUUAGGUGUAAAACAUAUGUAAAUGACUUUUUAAUAUGUUACAUCCUAAUCAAUUUUCUA